AAGGAUCAUUAGAAAUGGCGGGGGAAGACUUGCUCUUCUCCCCAAAUCUCUAUUCUGUGCACUGUUUUUGUGUGCUGGGCUAGCUUUGGCUGGGUCAGCACGGGGUGGAGCUUGGAAACUGUUUGCUAUGAAUUUUCCCCCCGGGAAAAAGUUCCGCUGGAAAACUUUUUGACAUCUCCGCCGAAAUUUAAUACUAAUACUGACUGACCAUGAAAAAGUUAAUUAUAACAACUUUCAGCAAUGGAUCUCUCGGCUUUC
rnacentral:misc_RNA from 1 species